CUGGUUGAUCCUGCCAGUAGUUAUAUGCUUGUCUCAAAGAUUAAGCCAUGCAUGUCUAAGUACACACGAAUUAAAAGUGAAACCGCAAAAGGCUCAUUAUAUCAGUUAUGGUUCCUUAGAUCGUUAACAGUUACUUGGAUAACUGUGGUAAUUCUAGAGCUAAUACAUGCAAUUAAAACAUGAACCUUAUGGGACAUGUGCUUUUAUUAGGCUAAAACCAAGCGAUCGCAAGAUCGUUAUAUUGGUUGAACUCUAGAUAACAUGCAGAUCGUAUGGUCUUGUACCGACGACAGAUCUUUCAAAUGUCUGCCCUAUCAACUUUUGAUGGUAGUAUCUAGGACUACCAUGGUUGCAACGGGUAACGGGGAAUCAGGGUUCGAUUCCGGAGAGGGAGCCUGAGAAACGGCUACCACAUCUAAGGAAGGCAGCAGGCGCGUAAAUUACCCACUCCCAGCUCGGGGAGGUAGUGACGAAAAAUAACAAUACAGGACUCAUAUCCGAGGCCCUGUAAUGGAAUGAGUACACUUUANNNNNNNNNNNNNNNNNNNNNNNNNNN
rnacentral:ncRNA from 1 species